UACGUAGGGGGCAAGCGUUGUCCGGAAUCAUUGGGCGUAAAGAGCGUGUAGGCGGCCCGAUAAGUCCGCCGUGAAAGUCCAGGGCUCAACCCUGGAAUGCCGGUGGAAACUGUCGGGCUCGAGUCCGGAAGAGGCGAGUGGAAUCCUGGUGUAGCGGUGAAAUGCGCAGAUAUCAGGAGGAACACCAAUGGCGAAGGCAGCUCGCUGGGACGGUACUGACGCUGAGACGCGAAAGCGUGGGGAGCAAACAGG
rnacentral:rRNA from 1 species